UGUUGCUUUGACAGUUUGACGGAUAAAAUUGUGAAGUCUCUCGUUGUCGCAAAUAUAAUAAGCAUUUGUAUAGAAAUACCAUAACUGCUAUGUGUACUAUCUAAAUCUCAUACAAAACAAUAUCGACCAUUUCCUUCUAAACGGUUAGAUAUAACUUUCAAACAAUAUCUACAAACAUUUAUUCCAUUACUCCAAGUAUUUCAUGAAACUUUAGUUCUAUUGUUUUUUUUCUGUUUUUCCAAAUCUUAAACCAUAUUGCAUAUUAUUUUACCCAUAAAGAAGAUUGCAACGCAUACACUGUGUGUGCGUGUGUGUUGUAAGCCAUAUAUACAUUUAAGUAGCUCGCAAAGACCUAUAAAUCUCUCUCGACUCAUUCUCACUAACCUUUAACAUGAACCUUCAUCCUCAUAAUCUGAUUUCAGAUCAUACACCAU
rnacentral:lncRNA from 1 species